AGUCACUGACAUUAGAUACCCGUGUAGUCCAGGGUGUAAACGCUGCAGACUUGGUGUUGGGGGCCCUUUGGGGGCAUUCAGUGCCGGAGAGAAGUUGUUAAGUCUGCUACUUGGGGAGUACGUCCGCAAGGAUGAAACUUAAAGGAAUUGGCGGGGGAGCACCGCAACGGGAGGAGCGUGCGGUUUAAUUGGAUUCAACACCGUAAACUCACCAGGGAAGACUGUUACAUGAAGGCCGAGAUGAAGACUCUGCUAGAUUUUCAG
rnacentral:rRNA from 1 species